CUGAGUUUUUAACUCCAAACCAUUGUGAACUUACCACUGUUGCCUCGGCGCAGACGCUCUACCGGCAGUGAUGCCGGCUGGGUGAAGGCGCCGGUGGACUACUAAACUAUUGUUAAUUUUGUCAAAUCUGAAUAAAAAACUUAAUAAGUUA
rnacentral:misc_RNA from 2 species